rnacentral:lncRNA from 10 species
UCCCAUUCCAAAAACGGAAAAAUGAGAAGUAAAAUGGGGUGAAGGGUUCCAAGCAAGUCUAAAACCUAGCAAAGCAAAUUCCAUUAGAUCUUAAGGCUCAAUAAUAAUCUUCUUUGAGUGAGUACUCUCCCCUCUGGGCCCAUUGGGAAAGCAGUAUCGCCUCCACAGGGCUAGGUAGGAUUCCCAACCCCAUGGCUCUGCGAGGGAAGGAUCCUGCCCACAAGGCUUUACCAUGCAGUUCUACCCCCAAGACUUCUGGCUAAGGCGUUUUAAUCUGUUGAAACUGAGGCCGCAGCUCCAGUGAUCUCUGAAUCCACACGUCAAUUUCUACAACAUGGAUAGGACAGAUCUUGAAGGGCCCAGUCUGAAUAGGAUGGAUAGAAGCAAGAUGGGGAGAUGGGAAGAUGCUGUGCUACUGCCUACAGCUAGAGAAUGCAAGUGAAUCCAGAGACAAAGAUCACCAACUUCAUCCUUUGCUUAUCUGAGUGCACAUUAUCUAGCACAAAUACAAAAUCCCCUAACUGGCUUCCUCCCUGCCACCCAGUGACUUUCUGGUAUGCCUUUCAUUUAUCUGUUAUUGUGUGUUCAAAGGCCGAAAGCUCA